GAACCUGCGAGGAUCAUUG
rnacentral:rRNA from 1 species